rnacentral:lncRNA from 1 species
AAAGGUACCUGUUACAAGUCUGUGAGCGGAGAAACAAAAGCCCCGCCGCGGACACCCUCCCACUAACUGGUCUUAAUGGGCUGCACCUCCAAGCUGCAGCUGCCAGCCUGCACCACAACCACAGCAACACAGGAUCCGAGCCACAUCUGUGACCUACACCACAACUCACAGCAACGCUGGAUCCUUAACACAGAGGAAGGCCAGGGGUCAAACUCGCAUCCUCAUGGAUCCUGGUUGGACUCCUGCUCCACAACAGGAAACCCCUGAGUCCUAGUUCUUAGUGUCUGGCCACACGAUGUGAUACCGACUUCCCCCUCUCGCUUGGGCAGCUCUGUAUUGCGUAAGGUCCUCAGAUCCCUGACUGACACCUUGAUUGCUGCGUGGUGAGGGGCAGAGGGACCCAGCGAAGCCAUGUCUGGAUUUCCGACCUACAGAAACUGUGAGAUAAUAAGUGCUUGUUGUUUUAAACUGCUCGAUCAUGGGGUAAUUUGUUACACAGCCAUGGAGAAUACAGGGUAGAUAAGCAUGUUUGUGCAAAGCUUGCAUAUAAUUUCAAGAGGCGUUGAGAAACCUCCAAAGCCUGUUGAUGGAUAAUGUAGGGACCUCGUUGGAACCCCUGUUUUAGGAAGACAUUAAAGGGAAAGACAGUGGAGGAAGAAAUAAAAUAAGAACAGCAGAGUCCGUGGUGGAAGGGAGAUCUGGAGAGUCUGAUUAGAGACGGUUGUGUCAGGGAAGUUAAGCAAGAACCGAAUGCCUUAAUGGGAAGAACAUUCACUAACAUUUUCCAGGGGGACAGAUUCCCGAGGAUAGCAGCUAAACUGGCGAGUGACAUUUUUCCAUCAUGAUAUAAAAUUGGCGGGAUAUGUAACCCAAAGAAGCAGAGACCACUGUUCUGCGCUGAGGUGUGUGGGAAGAAAGGUUCAACCCAGCCUGGUUAGGUUGGAAAAGUGUUGGCUAGUGACCGAGGAUCCUGGUAUCCGGGGCCUGAAGAAAAUGUGCAAAUUGUGGCAAGGGCUCUAAGUUACCAAAGGUUUUAUAAUGGCCCACGAAACUUGGAAGUUGGGGGAUUGAGUUGGCCUCAGGCCUGGCUGGCUCCAAGGACUCCGAUGGUGCCAUCAUGUCGCUCUCCGUAUCUUUUUGGUCGACCUUCAAAUGGUCAAGGGUUGGGCGUGGGCUAGGCAGUUCUGCAGAGAGAGCUCCAGGCGUUCUUAUCCGCAAAGAGUGGCCCUCAGAGAAAAAGACCGUCUUCUCUCAGUGUCCAUGUGAAAUCUCGGGAGGGAGUGUGAUGGUUGUGCCUGGAAAGCCAUUAUCUCCCAGGUACCCCGGCACUGUGUGGAGGGGUGGGAGGAUAAUUACCUAAAGGAAAAGGGGGUGCUCUUGUCAGAAAAGAAGAAACACCGUGGGGCAGAUAAUGUGACAUAUGUCUACCGGAGUGAGUGACAAUAACCAGAGGCUGGAGGAUUGUUUAAUAUUUAAAGUUAUGCCGACAUAACGCAAUAACCUGAGACUUAACGCAGCUGUGUGGUGUUUGUGUCUCAGCAGUCCCUCAUUAUAGGAAAUUUGGGUUGUGUAUUUGAAUUGACUUGGAAUGAUGGCGUCUAAUGAAUAGAGUUCUGGCAGGGGUGGCCCUGGAGAAGGGGUUUGGGGGAUGAAACCAUGAAUUCAGAGGCUCAGAAUCUUAAGGAAAAAUGCAGUCCUUUCUCCUUCUUGUGUGUCAGCAUCUGUUGUUUUUCUCCUAGAACACAAAGUGCCUGCAGAGCCCAUACCCAUUUGAAUAAAGACCGAACAACCACUGCAGCAAAGGCUUAGCUGCCAGAUGCUCUGCAUGUGACUUGGUUGAAUUUCUACCACUUUCCUAAGUCCCUGGAUGAGGCCUUGUUUCAUCCGGGGACUCCCACUAUUUUUGAAAUGAAGAAUUUGAUUCCAAAUGGCAGAGAUUUAAUUUUUAAACUCAAUGAAAGAGACGAUGCCAACUAUUCAAUUUAGAUCUUCUUAGAUCGUAAAUAAGGACUUGUGAUUGACUGAGUCAUUUAACUUUUUAAAAAAUAGGGUUUUUUUUUUUUUAAAGUUCAUUUUUUUUAAAAAAAAAAGUUCCUCUGAGACCAACAGUAAUGUAGAAAUUGGCAGGAGAGAUCUCUCUGGUGGGCCAUUUCUCCCCCAUCCCACCCCCACCCCAGUUUUGUCACAGUGUGAUUUGGUCGGACAUGAGAAAAUGCUAAAUGAUAGGUUAAAUGAUCCAUAUGUGGCAAGGUAACGCAUUCCUAACUUCUGUAAAGUUUUUCAAAUUGUAACUGCCACUGUCACGACAUGUGGAUAAUAUCAGUAUUAGUUGUCAAUUAAAAAAAUUACAUGGUACUGAAUUUGCUUACUUUAAGACAUGAAAAUAGGAGUUCCCAUUGUGGCUCAGUAGUAACGAACCCGACCGGUAUCCAUGAGGACUAGGGUUCAAUCCCUGGCCUCGCUCAGUGGGUUAAGGAUCCGGUGUUGCUGUGAGCUGUGGUGUAGCCCGGCAGCCGCAGCUCCGAUUGACCCCUAGCAGGUGUGGUGACCCUAAAGGGCAAAACCAAACCAAACAAAAAGAAAUGAAAAUAUAAUUGUUAAUCAGAAAGACAUGCUCUUGGCUGUAGUCUCCUCCCCUGUGGGAAGGCCAGUCCCCUCGGCCAGUAGCUGACAUUCUACUGCAAGGCCUGUCCCCGGGGCCCUGCCUCUCGCUCGGUGGCUAAGGCACAUUCUAGAGACUCACCGUUCUCUUUGCCUCUCAGCACUUAAAGCUCAGUGGAAGCCCAUGGUGUAUCCUGGAUCCAAACUCAGGGGAUUGAAUUGGACUUCCCACUUGAUGUGUUUAUCUUGAGAAUCACAUCUGAUAUUAAUAUUAAUGAUAUCCCUCGUUUAAGCUUUGCCUUGUCUCCAGUAUCUAUGUACCAUAGUCUAUAAUUGUGUUUUCACCAACAGUCUUUGCAGGCUCGUAUUUUAUAGCUCGUGAAAUCAGUAUCUUGGAUUCCAUCAUACCCGUGUUCCAUGCCCGGGCUGUUUCCAUACACAGAUAUCCCCCCAAUUAUAAGUGAAAGAGGCCAGAUAAGUGAAAGAGAGGUGUUUUUUUUUUUUUCUUUUCUUUAUUCUUUUUAAUAGCCACACUUUUCAAGGCUGGGAAAUUACAGGCAGGAUUUGCUUUGGCCCUUUUGGACUAUUUAUUUCCUCUGAUUUCUGGAAAUUACUGCCUUGGAGAUUCUGUAUCUUAUUGACUUUGGGGAAGGCAGGUAAAGAAGCAUUCACAUGUGCCCCAAAUAGCCUCUUGGUGACUUUUCUGGCAGUUCAUUUUGGCUCAGUAAUGAUGUAUUGAAGCAAAUAUGUGCCAGCCCAGUGCCAGGCACAGGAGUUGCGGUUGCACUUCCUGCUUCCUAGACCAUGACGGUCUAUUGAACCAGAAUGAAGGGACGAGGUCAAGGGAACUAGCACCUGUUGAUUGUCAAACACAGGGAGGAAUUCCUCUCCAGCCCUCACCUGUGUCACCUCAGCCCACCUUCAGAACCACACUGACUUCUGUCCUCUGGAAGCUCAGGGACAUUAAAUAUUUGUCCAGGCCACACAACAAAUGUGUUGUGAAGUAGAAGUCGAGCAAGAUUUGAGUCCAUGCGUAUUUUUAUCCAUGCUUAUUUUUACUACUUUAUAUGCUUUCUCCCUCCAGCACUGUUCAUUUUGCCCUGUAAUUAAGUUCUAGGAAUUCCAUUUCCAUCUCACUACUUAGGUCUAAAACUGACAAUGUUAAGAACGGUUGGAAAAACAUGCUUUCUUAGAAACUAAAAACUGCUCUAUCCUUCUAUGUUGUGAAUUUCAAAUCUCAAGUGAACCUUUUGGGAGUUGAGUUCAUUUAAAGCUGACUUUCUAUUUCUGAGAAAAAAGAAUAGAAUGAUAGCACACAUGUUAUGGCUUUUUAGCAAAAUGUCUUUUUAAAGGAAAUUGUGAUGUGAUUGAAAGAUCUUGGUGGGCAAUAAAUAGGUUUUUUUUUCAAGGUACCAUUUGGAAGCAUUCAAGAGUCAGGAAUUAAGGACAGAGUUGCUGUAAAUAUUUUCAAUAUAUUCCACAAAUCUCAAAUCACAUCUGGUUUGCCCAGCAUUAUCAGCAGAACCUUUCUUUAUUCAACUCUGAUUCCUCCACUAUGAUUUUGUCAAAUUAAAGGGCUCAAUCAUAUGAUUUAGCAUUAGCAUUAGAGGAACUGUCCCUAAAUUGGGGUCGGGCAAGCUGAUCUAGUGCAAUAUUUCGACAAGUUCCUAUAAGAUACUCUGAUUCGAAUACGGGUUAGUUAGCAAUUUGCGUUACUAAACACAAAACUAACAUUCAUGAUUUAAACACACAGGAAUAACUGCAUGAGUACAAGUAUGUAACAUGAUGGGCCAUCGGGCCAUUUCAUGAAAAAUAUAUUAGCAAGCAUUUAGUUUUAUUUAUUGUUCAGGCCUCGGAGUGCUGGUCUGCCUCUCUGGGUCCAGCCUGCCGCUGGCACAUGACCACAGCUGCCACAGAGUCAGUGAGAAGUGUGUCCAGGCUGCACCAUCGCGUCUGUGGUGCAUCCUUUAGAAAGAUCCUGGUGGUAAGAUGUCAGCCUCGCUUUCUAGAAGCCUCGCGCACCCAUGCAGCGGCACGGCCUCCCAGCCUCAUUCCCACAGACCUACUGCGAGGAGUUCUAUCUCUGGGUCUGAUUUCAAGGUGAACAGGUUGGAGAAUUCAAGGGAAGGCUAUAGAUUUUUUUUUGCUUCUCACGUUGGUUGAUUAGCCCGGUACGUGGUAUUUGAUUAACGUCCGCGAGCUCUAAUUAGCAGUGCCUAACAGGGUCUCCAUACCCUCAGAUAUUGAUUCCUGCCUCCAGAAAAACUAAUCUAAUUGUGCUCCUUAUCAUUAGCGAAUGGGUGGUGUACUGACAUGAUAUUUUUUAUUGGGAGGGCUCCUUCAUCAUGACCGCUUUGGAAUGGGCUGGAGGGGGACACGGAACUAAGGUGUCAGGAAAAACGUCACGUUUGAUCACCCUGAGACUGUUUUGAUCCCCAGAGGAGGGAAAGCCAUAACUAUUCCAGGAGAAAUUUUCUUUUUAACUUUCCCCAAAGAGGAAAAUGGGCAUAAGACUCAAAUGUGUCAUUUGGACCACAGCGGGUAGAAGAAAAGCAAAGACUUUGCGGGCAUCUCUUUGUUUCUGGGCCACUUGUCUGCUGAUCUGUGCCUGCCUUCCUGCCACUCUUGAAAUGACGGCACAGGACUACAGUAAUUAAGGCACCUCCAUGGCUGCCUUUGCUGAUCCCUAGUUUUCAGGGAUCGUAAUGAAAAGACAUACCCCCCCCCAAAGGAAAUGAUAUUAAUAAUAUUGGCUUGGCGCUCGAAACACACAUAAACCAUCGCUCAGCUUACACGGGUUUUCUUCUCUUCUGUAGAAAUUGCAAACUCCUCUUUUUCAGCGGUACUUUUACAUCAAGAACACCAUCUAAUAAGGAGAGUCUCCUUUGUUCCUCUAAACAUAGCACUGGUCUUUUUUUUUUUUUUUUUCCUUUCUGAAAAUAUUGAAAUCUACAAUCAGACCAUUUGGAGAUUUUCUCUGGAAGAGCCCAGAGGGGCCAUAACUCGAGCCACAGUGGAAUAAUCCUCUGAUCUCUGUGUCUGCUUAGUGCCACCCUGGAGCGAGUAUUACCCGCUGCUGCUUUUGUGCCAUCGUUCUUAGUAGCAUCUAUUCCUAUGAGAGCACUUAUCACACUGUAUUGCAAUUAUUUGUUUAUCGUCUGUCUCUCCUGCUAGGCUGAAAAGUCCUGGAGGGCAGAGGAUCUAUCUGAUUCAUUGGUGCAAAAACUCAAUGUCCUAGGUGCUUGUCACCAAGUGGUGAGGUCACCUUUCUAUUAUUACUGUAGAUUACAGUGGGUUGAAGUCCUGUCUCAUUGGUGGCAGCCUUGUCCCCGUCCCCCCUUCUGAGGUCCCUGGCCUCCCCAGUGCUCUCGGAGCAUCUCAAGGUAUCCCAUGCCCAUGGCACUCAGUUGAAAUGAGGAUGUGAUGCUGCCUCUGUCUCCCCUUGAUCAAGAUCUUGCCUGAGUUCUCGCUGUCAUCUCCCAAUAGGUCAGGACCACUCCCUCCUCUUGGGACUGUGCUGCUGCUGCUCUUCUGGAAUGUGGGGAGGUGCAGUGGCAAGGCUUUCCUUCCUCUCAGUGGAGGCUAUUUUGGCAGAAAUGAGAGGGAGAGUGGUAUAAAAUGGAAAUAAAUUUGGAGAAUCAGGUGGGACUAGCUAAUGAAGAGGCUUGUAGACAUGGAACUGGGUUCUGUUUUUAGUGCAAUACGGUGGGAGAUAUUACUAAAAGAGGGUCUUAAUAGGAUAACUUUGAUGUAGAAGAUUAUUCUGACUGAUGAAAGGCUAGUGGAGUAGUUCAGCAGUACAUUAAGCAGAGACACCAGUAGGGAGCCAUUGCAAAGACCUUGUAGGAUGCUGGUAGAGGUGGAGAUGGAGGGGGUGGGUAUGCAACCUUUUGAUCAGUUAUGGAUGCAGAAUAGUUCAGUUUGACGCCCACUUUCACUCAAGCUAAUGAGUGGGUAGAGGCAUCAUUUCCUUAGAAGGGAGACAUUGGCAAAAGGCAUGGGUUUGGGGCCAAAUCAAGUGUUCUUUGUAGACUUUCAAUUUGAGAUGUCUAUUGGGUAUCCAGGUGGCCAUAUCGAGAAGGUGGUGGAUGUGCACAUUUUGAGUUUUAGGACAGGAUAAGGGCUAGAGAUAUGACUUCAGGAGACAUCAAAAUGUAGACGGUGGUUCAAGACCCAAUACUGGAUGAGAUUGCAGAGAGAGAGGGUGCAGCUCUAGAAGGGAAAAAUCUGCAACCAAGUCCUGAUGUAAUUGGACUUGGGAGGAGGAGGACAGCCAGAAGGACGUUUGAACAAGGCCAACUAGUGACACGAGAGGAGAACCAAAAAAGAGGGGCAUUGUCGAAGCCAAGCGAGGAAAGAACUUCAAGAGGGAGGAAGUCCUCAAGUGGCAUAUGGGAGCCUUAAAUAAGAAGACAGAGGAAUGUGUGUCGUGUUCCUCUUCAGCCUGGCUUGGCGCUGCAUCCCAAGCUGUCACUUGAUGUUCUGAGGCAGUGGGAAGAGACCCAACAGGGCUGGCGCGUUGGAACACAGUCUUCUCACACUGCUGAGUCUCCCAAGGUGUGUUUUAUUUGGACUUAAAUAAUGCAGUGUGCAGGACACCCACAUCCUGGUACAGCCUGAAUCACAAAGAGUCCUUUUCACAAUCCUCCUCCUUUUAUCCUCAUGUUAGGAUCGUGCCUGAAUGUCCUUCUCUCGUCUGGGGAAACAAAGAUUCCCUGGCACAGGGACACCAGAUCCACACAGAGAAAAGGCAUCCUCCUGCCACUCAAUUUUGAAAAAAAAUGAAAAGAACGACCACAAAAGAAAAAAAAAAAA